UGAAAGGCGCCGCGCAGAGGAGAGCAAGGGGGCGGGAUGGAGGGGGCGCUGGGACGUGGCCGGGGAUUGGCUGUGGGGUCUGGACUCCGGCUCGAUUUGCUGUGAGGACCGCCCGGACUGGACGCGUGGAGGUGCGGAGCCAGAUCCCGGCCGCGUGAUUGAGGCGCUCUGGGUACUCGUCUGCUGUGAUGGAUUGCCCAUCUGCUUCCAAGUCUAGGGAGAAAUCCCUCAGUGUCCACACAAAGUCUGGAAAGAAGCUCACAAAGUCAGCUGAAUCCUGAACCCCAUCCAUGUCAGUGAAAUGGAGAAAGUCUGAAUCUGCAGAAGCUGCAAACAGAAUUUUGAGGAAAUGCAAAACAAGAAUGCACAGAUAAUGCAAGAAAAAGAAAAGAGUUUCCCUGAAUAUAUGAAACAGGUGGCUGAGUCUAUGGAAAAGGAAAGGGCCCAGUUAAUGGCAGAGCAGGAGAGGGUUCUAACGCUUAAAUCUCAGGUAUUGUUAUUUCCAUUCUAUCUUCCACUGUGCUGAAUCAAAAACACUGCUUAGAAGUUAGAGCAUUAGGUCAGUUUAAGGACUUUUCUAGCCUAAACACUAGUAGGCAUUUCACUCUCUUACUGCCUCUACCCUUGAACAUCUCUGGUUACUAAAGGCUGUUUACUUGCAGAAUCAAAUCUCAUGGAAACUUUUAUUGCUAAAUUACUAAUAAACCAUAGCUAUUCAUUGUUAGGCACUGCAUAGUAUCUUUACAGAUAU